rnacentral:lncRNA from 1 species
CCCAGAGGCCAAGAGUUCCAGUCCCAUCUGUGCCAUGACUUGUGUGACAUUGGGCAAGUAGCUUAAUCACUUGGUGGCUUCAUUUCCUUGUUCACAAUAUGUGGUAUGACAGUAUUAACCUACCUUGCUGGAAUUUUAUAAAAAUAAAAUUACUAUUUGCCAUGUCUAUAUAUUUCAGCUGCAGACUGCUUCCAGGACUACCUAGUUUGGGGAUGGUCACCAGAAGCAUGAGGCUCUGUUUUAUCAGAUUAGCAGCCCCUGCAAAAUGAGAAUUCUUCUUAGCAAGUCCCAGAAAUGAUCCUGUUGGCACAAACUCAUCUCUAAAUCUACCAGUGACUCCAAAGGACUGGAUUUGGCCACAUGUACAUUUCUGUAAAAGCCUUGGGGGUGGUACCAACCUCAUCCAAACCAGCUGAGAGGAACCUGGAGGAAAACUAGAGUUCCCUAGAGGAAAACUGAAGUGUCAAUACAAGGACAAGGUGGGUGGAUGUAAAUAAGUGAGAGAUGAUGUCCUGUUAUGGUACAGAUCUUUCAGCCCAGUUUUAUCAUUGUACUUAUUUGGAAACCAGGUUAAGUCACAAUAAGCAGUAAAGAGCAGAGCCAAGAUUUCCCACUUUCUACCCCUUUGCCCCGUCCUCUCUACUGUGUUACUGCCCCUUCUGACAAACUAGAAAUGAAUCAAACAUCAAGCCUCUGUAACACUUGCUUAUUGGAAUAUCUUCUUAAACACUGUAUUUCAGAUAUUAAACUUAAAGGAGCUGUAAUUGCACAUUGAUCAUCUUUGAAUCUCCUACAUCGACUGCUCAGAGUAAGAAAACCACAUUCCUUCUGUGAGAGUAAUCCUUGCUCCUCCUUUCCUCUUUGGGGGGACAAGUUGAAGCUGGAUAAAGCAAAGCUGCUGAUCUACUUGGAAAAAGUUUGAGCCCUAACCAGGUGAUCCCAUGAGUGAGGUGGAUGUCCUGUGCAUGGAGGGGUUCACACCAGCCUCUGAUCUCCUUUGUGAUCAUAUUUUAUCCCAAGAACUUGAUUAAUAGUCUAGACUGAGUUCCUCCCUUGGGGCGAGAUUGUUGCCCUCCCCCUUUUCCCAGGCGCAGCACUAUCCCUGUGGACAGGUAUGGGCAUGCAUCAGAAAUCUGGAGGCUUGCCCAAAAAAGUAUGUCUGCUGUUUGUGAAGGGGCAAUGUAGUAAUUACCUGUGAGUAAUGCAGGGCAGAUCUGCUAUGAGAAAUUCAAGCUGAAAAAAGAAGGCUUUCCUUUUCUU